rnacentral:rRNA from 1 species
GAUCCUGGCUCAGGAUGAACGCUGGCGGCGUGCUUAACACAUGCAAGUCGAGCGAAGCGCUUUUGCGGAUUUCUUCGGAUUGAAGCAACUGUGACUGAGCGGCGGACGGGUGAGUAACGCGUGGGUAACCUACCUCAUACAGGGGGAUAACAGUUGGAAACGGCUGCUGAUACCGCAUAAGCGCACAGUACCGCAUGGUACCGUGUGAAAAACUCCGGUGGUAUGAGAUGGACCCGCGU